UACGUAGGGAGCAAGCGUUGUCCGGAUUUACUGGGUGUAAAGGGUGCGUAGGCGGCUUUGCAAGUCAGAAGUGAAAUCUAUGGGCUUAACCCAUAAACUGCUUUUGAAACUGCAGGGCUUGAGUGAAGUAGAGGUAGGCGGAAUUCCCGGUGUAGCGGUGAAACGCGUAGAGAUCGGGAGGAACACCAGUGGCGAAGGCGGCCUACUGGGCUUUAACUGACGCUGAGGCACGAAAGCGUGGGUAGCAAACAGG
rnacentral:rRNA from 1 species